AUGACCCGUGCGUGCUGAGCUAGGCGAGUAUGGUAGUGAGGAUGACGACAGCCGAAUCUGAGUUAGAGAAGGAGAUAAAGAGGGAGAUGAAGGAAAAUUGGGAAGGAGAAGAGGAGAAGAAGAAGGAAAAAUUGGGGAAGAAGAUAUUACCAUUUCAUUGCUGUCUUCUAAUUUCAUUACAAUGCUACUUAUACCUCCCCUAUUACGUACUGAAAUGUAAUUACAUAAAGAUAACUGCUCAAGUUGUAAAAUAAGUAACUAAACAGUAAUGGGCUAAUGUGGGCCCAAUCUGCCAGUGGAUCUGGGCUCCUUGAUCUGCCUGGUUAAGUUGGCGGAUCGGGUUCCACCCGUUAGUCGCCCGCUCCACUCGCUCGUGCCCGCUCUGUUAAGCUUGGAUUUAUUUACUUAUGCCCCUUUGACUGACAUAGAUUCUGUCGUAUCUCUUGACCUCAACCCUACUCUUCUCCCUCUCCUCCGAUCUUUCUCCCCGCCGGCGUUACAUUGCGUCUCUAGGCUCGGAUGAGAAGAUACUGUAAGGCCCGGACUCACCGCAACCACCUAAGUGAGGAUUGUGGAUGAAUGGGAUCAGAUCUGGGGAUAAUUCGGUGGGGAAAUGGUAGAGAAUUAGAGCUAGAGAAGAGAGGUGGGGAAGAGAUGGGUCUGAGGAAGAAGAAGAAGGAAAAAGAAGAUAGAAUUAGGAGGAAGAGAAAUUACCAAUUCAUUCCAUAUAUAUAUAAACUUCUCAGCCGCUACAUCUCCUAUCUAUUAUCUAUUACUAUAUACUAAAGUAGAACCCUUUAUGAACUCUAUAUGAGAAACUGACAGGUGGCUUUCUAUAUGCUUGCCACGUGUCAAGCUCAAAUAUAAAUAUAGAUUUUCUAAAUUACAUAUCUAUUCUAUUUACUAUUCUAUGAGAUAUUGCGAAAUUCACGGAUAUUACGUUGCGAAAGAAUUGGCGGGUGCGGAUAUUACGCGUGAGAAGGAAAAAUUAUAUUCUUAAAUGCAAAUGGUAGGUGGAUUAAUGAGAUAUUGAGAAAAUGAGAUAUUGCAAAAUUCACGGAUAUUAGCAGGUGCGGAUAUUACUAUAUUUACUAUAUACUAAGUAGAACCCUUUAUGAACCAUAUGUGAGAAACUGACACGUGGCUUUCUAUAUACUUGCCACGUGUCAAGCUCAAAUAUAAAUAUAGAUUUUCUAAAUUACAUAUCUAUUCUAUUUACUAUUCUAUGAGAUAUUGCGAAAUUCACGGAUAUUACGUUGCGAAAGAAUUAGCGGGUGCAGAUAUUACGCGUGAGAAGGAAAAACUAUAUUGUUAAAUUCAAAUGCUAGAUGGAUUAAUGAGAUAUUGAAAAAAUGAGAUAUUGUAAAAUUCACGGAUACUGGCAGGUGCGGAUAUUACUAUAUACUAAAGUAGAACCUUUUAUGAACCUUGUGUGAGAAGUUGACACGUGGCUUUCUAUAUAUUUGCCACAAGUCAAGGUCAAAUACAAUUAUAGAUUUUCUAAAUUUAUCUAUCUAUUACUAUAUACUAAAGUAGACCCCUUUAUGAACCCUAUGUGAGAAGCUGACACGUGGCUUUCUAUAUGCUUGCCACGUGUUAAGCUCAAAUACAAAUAUAGAUUUUUUAGGAUAUUACUAUAUACUAAAGUAGGACCCUUUAUGAACCCUGUGUGAGAAGCUGACACGUGGCUUUUUAUUUACUUGUCACAUGUCAAGGUCAAAUAUAAAUAUAGAUUUUCUAAAUCUAUCUACUACUAUAUACUAAAGUAGACCCCUUUAUGAACCCUAUAUGAGAAGUUGACACAUGACUUUCUAUAUGCUUGCCACGUGUCAAACUCAAAUACAAAUAGAUUUUCUAUUACUAUAUACUAAAGUAGAACCCUUUAUGAACCUUGUGUGAGAAUCUGACACGUGGCUUUCUAUAUGCUUGCCACGUGUCAAGGUCAAAUACAAAUAUAGAUUUUCUAAAUUUCUCUAUUACUAUAUACUAAAAUAGACCCCUUUAUAGACCCUAUGUGAGAAGCUGACACGUGGUUUUCUAUAUGCUUGCCACGUGUCAAGCUUAAAUGCAAAUAUAGAUUUUCUAAAUAUGACUAGAUUGACAGUUAUAUCGAAAACAAAUUAUAUUAUAGAUAACUUUAUAAUAAGUAGGCAACAAAGUUUUUUUUCUUUAUAUUUUCUUGAAGACCAACAUCUAUAUAUUUUUGAGUCUUGAAAAUUUGUAUGUCUCUCAUAUGCGUGUGCUUACUCUAAUUUGUAUCAAAUAUAAAAAUUUAGUUGAUCUUAUUAUAUGUUUAAAUACUAAUGUCAUUUGUAAUUUUUCAUAUCAAUUUUAGUUAUCAUUUUGUUUUGCACAUCAAU
rnacentral:lncRNA from 1 species